rfam:Callipepla squamata strain Texas jcf7180005234157, whole genome shotgun sequence.
CCAACGGCUCUUUUAAGAGCCACCCACCGCUGUCCGAAAAAGAGCU